UUUACAGGGCUUGACUACAAAAUGAACUUGAGGCAUGCAUCCUCGUGUUGGAAGUUAAGAUGUUGGAGUAUAAGUAAUUCAAUGCUUUGUAAUGUCUGUUCUAUUUUGAUAUGUCCUGAUUUUGGUCAGAAGAAUGCCAUGUAUCAUGUUGGAGACAGCUAAACUCGCUCUGGUUGAUGUAUGUAGUAUGUGAUUCUGUCAAGACUUUCAAGUAUUUCCUUUGUCA